rnacentral:rRNA from 1 species
GAUGAACGCUGGCGGCGUGCCUAAUACAUGCAAGUCGAGCGAACGGACGAGAAGCUUGCUUCUCUGAUGUUAGCGGCGGACGGGUGAGUAACACGUGGAUAACCUACCUAUAAGACUGGGAUAACUUCGGGAAACCGGAGCUAAUACCGGAUGAUAUUUUGAACCGCAUGGUUCAAAAGUGAAAGACGGUCUUGCUGUCACUUAUAGAUGGAACCGCGCUGCAUUAGCUAGUUGGUAAGGUAACGGCCUACCAAGGCAACGAUGCAUAGCCGACCUGAGAGGGUGAUCAGCCACACUGGAACUGAGACACGGUCCAGACUCCUACGGGAGGCAGCAGUAGGGAAUCUUCCGCAAUGGGCGAAAGCCUGACGGAGCAACGCCGCGUGAGUGAUGAAGGUCUUCGGAUCGUAAAACUCUUUUAUUAGGGAAGAACAUAUGUGUAAGUAACUGUGCACAUCUUGACGGUACCUAAACAGAAAGCCACGGCUAACUACGUG